CUUUGACGUUUCUCCGAGUGGUGAAUUUAUAUUUUUCUUAGAAAUUGCGAGAAGAGCAGAUAUCCCGCUUGUAGCCAGAGGCAAUGGCAUGUGAGGCUCACUAAAAUCUACUCAUCUCGUUGGAGCAGCUCCGGGUAAUGGACCGUUGAAUGUGCUGGAUGAACUUAUGUCCACCAUAAACAAAGGAGUCUCCAAGCAAAUGCAUGUCCUGAAUUUAUACGUAUUUUUGAGGAGCUCCGGGUAAUGGCCGCUCAAACUUGGUUGUGCCUUGAACUGCUUGUACAGGUGUUCCAAGGUUUGGAAGUAAGGUGAAGUGUUCGAAUGAAAUGUGGAAGUCGUUGUAUACUUGGGUUAGUCAAAAUACCUGCGCUAUGGGUUCUAGCAUAGAGAUUUGCUCCAGCAACACGAGACCGCUGCACCCACGGCAAAGUAGCACUCGGUGCAUUCCAAAACGUCAAAAUACAAAGCAUCAGUCUUUUAUUUCUAAACCGCAGUUAAAAGAAAUCCAACUUGCGCAAACUAGUUGAAAACUAGCAGCUAACCGUGGUUGCGCACAUUUGGCAAUACAAUCUGCUGACGUUUGAUGAAGAUAUUUUUAAGCGCGUGUGUGUGUAUUAAAAACUAAAAACUAAAAGGUUUGGGAAAUAUGUGAUAUCGUUAAUUUAUUGUAAUAUUUUGAUAAUCCAAAAAUUUAUUUAAAUGUGCAGAAAUUUACGCUGCCUCUUCCUUUAUGUAAAAAAUUUCAUAGCUGUAUUGAUUACCAGCAUCUCAGUAGAACAAAAUAGGUAUUAUUUUUUACAAUGGGAGUAUUAAAGUAGCUUAAGUGACUUUCAGUUUGACUUUGAAUCAAAAAAUAAUCAGUUACAAUCGAAAUUUUUUUAUUUUUGUUAUUAAUCUUCUAUUGGAAGUGCAUUUUGAACGGCGCCUAUGGCUAGUUAAACAUUGAAAAAUUGUUUGGGAACCCAAUGAAAUGUUGCUUUAAAUGGAAAAGCGCCUAUAUGGACUAAGGUUAGUUUAAUUUAACGUCACAGAUAUGCAAAUUCAAAACAAUAAAGCCGUAAAGCCGGAUUGAAGUAAAUCAGCGAUUUUUUAUUAUAUUCAAUGCGGUAUAUAUUUAGCGAUAUUGCAUUUUCCCCACCACCCAGGUAUGCAAUCAGGCGCGUUACCGAUUUUUUUUAGGUGUUCGGUUCCCCCAGAGGCAUAUUUUCACCUAUAUAACUUAAACUAAUAGUACAACAAAAAUUGUAAUAAUUCAUGUUUUUUUUUAAUUUUGUACUUUAACUCAAAAUUAUAAAAAACUACAAAA